CAGGUGCUGCAUGGCCGUCGUCAGCUCGUGCCGUGAGGUGUUGGGUUUAAGUCCCGCAACGAGCGCAACCCCCGCCGUUAGUUGCCAGCGGUUCGCCGGGCACUCUAACGGGACUGCCCGCGAAAAGCGGGAGGAAGGAGGGGACGACGUCUGGUCAGCAUGGCCCUUACGGCCUGGGCGACACACGUGCUACAAUGCCCACUACAAAGCGAUGCCACCCGGCAACGGGGAGCUAAUCGCAAAAAGGUGGGCCCAGUUCGGAUUGGGGUCUGCAACCCGACCCCAUGAAGCCGGAAUCGCUAGUAAUCGCGGAUCAGCCAUGCCGCGGUGAAUACGUUCCCGGGCCUU
rnacentral:rRNA from 1 species